AUGGUUUUAAUUGUCACUCAGUCACCGACUCCCAGUAUCCCCCAGUACUCCCAGUGCCCCCAGUUCCCAUUCCCAGCGCUCCCAGCGCUCCCAGUGCUCCCAGUGCUCCCAGUAUCCCCAGUUACCCAUUCCCAGUAUCCCCAGUACCCCCAGUUACCCAUUCCCAGUGCUCCCAGUUACCCAUUCCCAGUGCCCCCAGUACCCCCAGUUACCCAUUCCCAGUAUCCCCAGUACCCCCAGUUACCCAUUCCCAGUGCUCCCAGUUCCCCCAGUACACCCGGCGUACACCCGGUAGCGGUGGUUGAGCCGGGGGUGCCCGUGGAUGCCGUAGCGCGUCCCCAGCGCUCCCAGUUACCCAUUCCCAGCACUCCCAGUGCUCCCAGUUACCCAUUCCCAGUGCUCCCAGUGCCCCCAGUAUCCCCAGUUACCCAUUCCCCCAGUACACCCGGCGUACACCCGGUAGCGGUGGUUGAGCCGGGGGUGCCCGUGGAUGCCGUAGCGCGUCCCCAGCGCUCCCAGUGCCCCCAGUUACCCAUUCCCAGUGCUCCCAGUAUCCCCAGUUCCCAUUCCCAGUACCCCCAGUAUCCCCAGUUCCCUAGUACACCCGGCGUACACCCGGUAGCGGUGGUUGAGCCGGGGGUGCCCGUGGAUGCCGUAGCGCGUCCCCAGCGCUCCCUGGGCGCGGCUGCUGCCGUAGAAGACGCGGCGCACGCGGGCGUGCAGCAGCGCCAUGGCGCACAGCGCGCACGGCUCCCGCGUCACGAACACGUCGCAGCCGCGCAGCAGGUAACCCCCCGUGACGUCAUCGCCGGCGACGUCGUCGCCGGCGGCGGUGACGUCAUCGGCGGCGCCCACCUCGGCCGCCCCCGGGAUCACGUGACCCGUCAGGUCCAGGGGGACGGCGCCCAGGGAGGCGGCGAAGUCGUCGAGACGGCGGAUGACGUCAUCGUGACACCUUGUGACGUCAUCGUGAGCCCCUCUGACGUCAUCAUUACACCUCAUGGCGUCAUCGUGACCCCUUAUGGCGUCAUCAUUACCAGCAAUGACGUCAUCGCGACCCCUUACAACAUCGCUGUGACCUCUUAUGACGUCAUCGCGACCCCUUAUGACGUCAUCGUGACCCCUUGUGACAUCACUGCGAUCACUCAUGACACCGUCAUGAUCCCUCAUGACGUCACCAUGACUACUUAUGACAUCAUUAACCGUUAUGACAUCAUCAUGAUGGUUUAUGAUGUCAUCGUGACCCCUUAUUAUGUCACUGUGACUGGCGAUGACGUCAUUGUGAUGGCGUAUGAUGGCGCCGGUGGCAGUGGUAACGUCAUUGCGGUCGCCGAUGACGUCAUCACCCCCAAACCUGGCGACCUUGGCCCCGACGCCGCCGUCAUCGUCCCCGGGGUGUCCCCGCCGCCGCCGUGCCCUCCCCACCGUGACGUCACCGUCCUCGGUGAUGACGUCACCGCGCUGUCCCUGACCACGUGAUGCCCUCCCCGUGACAUCAUCACCCCUCCCCAUGACGUCACCACCUCUACCCACGACAUCACCCCCGCUCCCGGUGAUGUCACCGCCCCUCCCGAUGACAUCAUUCCCACUCCUGGUGAUGUCACCGCUCCUCCCAAUGACAUCAUUCCCACUCCUGGUGACGUCACUGCCCCUCCCAGUGAUGUCACCACCACUCCCGGUGACAUCACUGC
ensembl:lncRNA